rnacentral:rRNA from 1 species
UACGUAGGGUGCGAGCGUUAAUCGGAAUUACUGGGCGUAAAGCGUGCGCAGGCGGUGCUGUAGGACAGGCGUGAAAUCCCUGGGCUCAACCCAGGAACUGCGUCCGAUACUGGAAGGCUUGAAUCCGGGAGAGGGAUGCGGAAUUCCAGGUGUAGCGGUGAAAUGCGUAGAUAUCUGGAGGAACACCGGUGGCGAAGGCGACUACCUGGCCUGUUCUUGACGCUGAGGCGCGAAAGCUAGGGGAGCAAACGGG